rnacentral:rRNA from 1 species
UACGUAGGGUCCGAGCGUUGUCCGGAGUUACUGGGCGUAAAGCGCGCGCAGGCGGCGGUGCUGGCCCGGCGUGAAAGCCCCCGGCUCAACCGGGGAGAGUCGUCGGGGACCGCACCGCUUGAGGGCGGUAGGGGCUGGUGGAAUGCCUGGUGUAGUGGUGAAAUGCGUAGAGAUCAGGCAGAACACCUGGGGCGAAGGCGGCCAGCUGGGCCGUCCCUGACGCUGAGGCGCGAAGGCGUGGGGAGCGAACGGGG